rnacentral:rRNA from 1 species
AACGAACGCUGGCGGCAUGCCUAACACAUGCAAGUCGAACGAGACCUUCGGUCUAGUGGCGCACGGGUGCGUAACGCGUGGGAAUCUACCCUUGGGUUCGGAAUAACUCAGAGAAAUUUGAGCUAAUACCGGAUGAUGACGUAAGUCCAAAGAUUUAUCGCCCAAGGAUGAGCCCGCGUAGGAUUAGCUUGUUGGUGAGGUAAAGGCUCACCAAGGCGACGAUCCUUAGCUGGUCUGAGAGGAUGAUCAGCCACACUGGGACUGAGACACGGCCCAGACUCCUACGGGAGGCAGCAGUGGGGAAUAUUGGACAAUGGGCGAAAGCCUGAUCCAGCAAUGCCGCGUGAGUGAUGAAGGCCUUAGGGUUGUUAAAGCUCUUUUACCCGGGACUGAUAAUGACAGUACCGGGA